GUAAUAACAAACGUAAACGUCGUCUAUUGUUUCCCGUUAUUUAACGUUGUUUCAACGACGUCAUAACGGAAUCACCAUUGGAAUUGCUUUGGCCGUCUGGAAAGGGCGGGUUCUUUCAUCAAAGGAAAGGGUACGGCGGGAAUCGGCAAAAAACUCAUACAGAAUAUUGACAGAAAUAGAACUCAAAUCUUUAAAGAUAUCUUUGUCGUCUUGGUCUAUUAUAAAAGAACCGCAAUUAUCUAGAUCAUUAUAGACCAUACUCACUUAAGUUUCCGUUUUAUUGAAAUUAUCUUCAAUACAGUAGAGAACAACGAGAACAAAUGCGUAAUGAUAUAUCAUUGCAUUAGAAUGCAAAUUGUAAUAAAUUCUUUACCAAACUUUUCCGAGAUUUUGUCAUUCAGGAUAGAAAACUCAGUUUGGUUUUACUUAAGAAAGAUGAAAAAACUGGUUUCUUGAGAAAAAAUUAGAUACGGCGUAAACUAACAUUUAUCAUGCAUCUAGCUUUGCGUUGCAGUCCUAAUAUACAGUAUAUACAUAAUAUAGUAGAUCUUUAAAUGAAUACGACCUUUAACUGGUAAACAAAAGAUGACACUGUAAUAAAUUGAAAUAGGAAAACAUUGUAAUAUAUACACUGACAUGCAAGUAGAAAAUAUCUGACGAUUUUAAUGUUUACUUAUGUAUGAGGAACAAAUAUAAUUUAGCCAAAAAAAAACCCGGUGUAGGUCUUGAUGUAGGUCUUGACUAAUUAGACACACUCUCAUAAAAUCAGCGGGUCCAUAAUAGGAUAGGGAAAAAACAGCCAUCAAAAUACCAUAAUUCAAAACUGGGGAAAAGGGGGGAGGGCUAAUAGCUUAACUCAAGACUUCGAUCUUAUUCAACUUUAUUCUAGUACGGCAUACGUUUUACCGCUAGCAAACUCUUUAUCUUAAUAAUGUAUCAAUGAUUUACUUCAGUUCCACUUUCGCCUCGCCCUAAAUAUGCGUGAUAUAUUUGCCACUGGAGCACGGGAGCAAUCAA
rnacentral:lncRNA from 1 species